rnacentral:rRNA from 1 species
CAUCCUUGAUCGGGAGGUCCGGGUAAUCUUUUGAAACUUCAUCGUGCUGGGGAUAGUCCCUUGCAAUUUUUGGACUUAAACGAGGAAUUCCUAGUAAGCGUGAGUCAUCAACUCGCGUUGAUUACGUCCCUGCCCUUUGUACACACCGCCCGUCGCUACUACCGAUUGAAUGGCUUAGUGAAUCCUUCGGAUUGGCUAUUUUUUUCUGGCAACAGAAUUAAACUGCUAAAAAGUUGGGCAAACUUGGUCAUUUAGAGGAAGUAAAAGUCGUAACAAGGUUUCCGUAGGUGAACCUGCGGAAGGAUCAUUAAAAAAUAUCGCUCGAUUGAGAGUGAUUUAAUAAUCAUCCUACCCUUUGUGAAUUUUGUUGUUUGUAAUAAUUUUUUUUGAUUUUAAAAAAAAAUUAUUUAUGGUUUUGUCUAUCCCUAAAAUUGGUUUGUUGUGAAAUGAAUCAAAUUUAGGGAAUAGGCUUUCAUAAAUAAGUUUUUUUUAAAGUCUUAAAGACCUUUUUUAAAAUUAAACUUUUGUUGUAUUCAUUUGUCUAAAUUUUUUUUUAAAUAAUUUAAAAACAACUUUUGACAAUGGAUCUCUUGGUUCUCGCAACGAUGAAGAACGCAGCAAAAUGCGAUAAGUAAUGUGAAUUGCAGAAUACGUGAAUCAUCAAAUCUUCGAACGCAUAUUGCAC